GCACAAGCGGUGGAGCAUGUGGUUAAUUCGACGCAACGCGAAGAACCUUACCAGGGCUUGACAUCCCUGACAACCCGAGAGAUCGGGCGUUCCCCUUCGGGGGACAGGGUGACAGGUGGUGCAUGGUUGUCGUCAGCUCGUGUCGUGAGAUGUUGGGUUAAGUCCCGCAACGAGCGCAACCCUCGACCUUAGUUGCCAGCAUUCAGUUGGGCACUCUAAGGUGACUGCCGGCUAAAAGUCGGAGGAAGGUGGGAUGACGUCAAAUCAUCAUGCCCUUUAUGUCCUGGGCUACACACGUACUACAAUGGCCUGUACAAAGGGUAGCGAAGCCGCGAGGUGAAGCCAAUCCCAAAAAGCAGGUCUCAGUUCGGAUUGCAGGCUGCAACUCGCCUGCAUGAAGUCGGAAUCGCUAGUAAUCGCGGAUCAGCAUGCCGCGGUGAAUACGUUCCCGGGCCUU
rnacentral:rRNA from 1 species